rnacentral:lncRNA from 1 species
AGAGCAGCCAGGACUUCAGUUGGUGCUCAUAAGGCAUGCCGGUAAUGCAGACACAUGUUUACCUGCUAUACUACAACACCACCCCCAAAAAUUCAUUUUCAAAGUUCAGAAACCAUCUACCAAUUGCAAAUACCCAUUCCUAAUAUUUCAUAUUCUCCUUGACAAUAUAUACAUUAUUGAUCAAUUUUUUUUCUGCUUAUAAUCAUUUCAACUACUUUUCGUGAUGUAGUGCUUAUACUUUCCCCUCUUCCCUGAUGUCUUUCCCCUAAAUCUUAUUUUUGUGGCUCUACUUAUGGCAUAUAAUUUUACACUCAAUCCUCAGCCAGAAAAAUAAGACCAUGGCCUAAUAAUCUUCAUCACAUGACUUUUUUCUUUGGAAUGUAACAAGGGAUUUUGGUGACUUUAGGGAGAGAGAGAGAGAGAGAGAGAGAGAGAGAGAAUGAAUCAUAUUUUAUACAUCACACUGGGCUGCCCUGCUCUGUGGCUCAGGUUUCUCAGAGAACUGCCUGUCCAUUUCCAGCACACAACAUCAUGAAAAGUGUUAUGUCUAAGACAUGUCCUAAGACUGAUACAAUGGGUGAAAGAAAGUCCUGCUGCUUCCUAUCUUAGAGCUCCCAGCUUAGGAGUAUGGGAGUGCUUUCCCUCUUAGUAUGGAGGCACAGUGGUGUGGAAGGCAUUCAGUGUGCAGUAUAAUGAUUAAAGAUCAUAGGAACAAGAACAAAAGGAAAAAGAAAAAUAGGGUGAGAGGAUGGAAAGCAAGAAUUUAGAAUCAAAAACAGUGCUGAAGGAAAAUCCAGAAAUAGAAGCUCUCAGGAUCCAACAACAGAACUCUGGGAGCCCUUCUCCAGGCCAGAACCGCAGCCAAUAAAACAGUGGAGACUGAAACUAUUCAAAAGGGAACUGCGGCUUUUGUUGGAAUCUGGCUGGAUGACAUUGCUUAGUGGAAAGCAAAAGUGCUUUUGCUUCACCACAAACACUUUACAAGGAAGGAACUUUAGAGAGGGACGACAGCAGAAACUCUUAGAAGAUUAAUGUGGAUUCCCACAGCCUGUUCUUUUAUGGAUUGCCAGGAACUCGUUCAUCAACCAUAUUCACCCGGCAAGUGAGUCUACGGCAAAAAUACAAACAUGUAUGAAACGUUUCCCUACAAUUCUGCUUUCAGGUAGGUGAUCCUAAACAGGGAAGUUAAUGCAAGAGGAAAAGAAAACUAAGGGGAAAAUCCAGGAAGACUUGCAUUGUGCACGCAAUCAGCCGUCUCUUCCCUUCAGAGUCAGAAGAUUUUAUGGGUCUUUUUCUUACAAAGAUAAAGAAUGUAAUGUAGAAUGAAAGUGGAAUGCAUCACACUAACAAUGUCUUAAUGUACAUAUUAAGUCAUUGUAAGUCUGUUUUCUGUGGUCUUUAAUAUGCAUUCUUUCAACAAUAAAUUUCAUUACAUAAAAUUAACA